rnacentral:rRNA from 1 species
UGGGGAAUUUUGGACAAUGGGCGAAAGCCUGAUCCAGCAAUGCCGCGUGAGUGAAGAAGGCCUUCGGGUUGUAAAGCUCUUUUGUCAGGGAAGAAACGGUGAAAGCUAAUAUCUUUUGCUAAUGACGGUACCUGAAGAAUAAGCACCGGCUAACUACGUGCCAGCAGCCGCGGUAAUACGUAGGGUGCAAGCGUUAAUCGGAAUUACUGGGCGUAAAGCGUGCGCAGGCGGUUUUGUAAGUCUGAUGUGAAAUCCCCGGGCUCAACCUGGGAAUUGCAUUGGAGACUGCAAGGCUAGAAUCUGGCAGAGGGGGGUANAAUUCCACGUGUAGCAGUGAAAUGCGUAGAUAUGUGGAGGAACACCGAUGGCGAAAGGCAGCCCCCCUGGGUCAAGAUUGGACGCUCAUGCACGAAAGCGUGGGGGAGCAAACAGGAUUAGAUACCCUGGUAGUCCACGCCCUAAACGAUGUCUACUAGUUGUCGGGUCUUAAUUGACUUGGUAACGCAGCUAACGCGUGAAGUAGACCGCCUGGGGAGUACGU